AUUACUCGAAGCUUUCCCCGUUAACAUCCGCUUCCAAAGGCCAGUAGUCGAUCGAUCUCUCCAAACCAGGCCAAGCCCUAGAAAUCUUGCGAUCCCUUGAGACCCAAGCGGAGCUGCAACGAGACCUCAGCAAGAAGCGCUCGGAUUCGAACAUGAAGAAGACCAUAUCAGUAAAGGCGCGAUCGCAGCUGCAACAGAACGGCCACGCCCUUACGUCUAAACUCGCCAACUUGCUCGAUCCUGAGGCCUCUUGGGAUAAGGAUCAAUUGGGGGACGUUCUCCACUGAAUGCGGCAAGCGUUGGGCCUCGCGUGUGGUUUGCUGUGGGGUGCGUAUUCCCUUAGGUGGUGCUACCUGGAUUGUUGUCUUGCUUGGAUUCUUGUAUACAGUUUGGCACACUUUUAAACAGCUGUUAUCUGCUGAACCACAUGGAGCCCCAUCUUUUGAUCUCCCAUGAAAUGAGAACUAGCAGUGGCUUUGUUAGUUAGAGAUAUUUUUGGUAUAUUGAUUUCUACCAUAUGGGUGGAGAGCAUUUGUUUUAUAGUACUUAAUAGUGCCAAGGGAUUCCUCUUUGCAUUAUUUCUCACCAUCCAUAGUGUUUGACAUUACUAUACUUGUUGCAGUUGUGAAGGGCACAAUUCCAGGGAAAAUCCCUAUGCUCAUCAAAGAGGAUUAUUCGUGAACAAAGUUUAAUCAGUGUGGUAUAGUCCUUAACAAAGUAUUUGUUUUCCUGUGCUGAAAUAAUUGCAGCAAGCAAUCACAUGCCAGACUAAGCAAGAAGAGCAUGAGAGGUGAUUUGAUAGUUUGUUCAUCCAACAGAAGAAAAGCCUCCUAAAAGGUUAGAGCUUGUAGCUUAAUUAUAUCUUCAAGCAUUGUAUUUCUUACCACUAGUCUAUGCAGUCUGCCUUCUGCACCAAUGUCUGGAAAUCACAAACAACAAUACCCAAACACAAGAAGGAAAAAAUAGAACAACUGCAUCAAGAUGCCUACAGCAUGUAAGCCAAAGUCAGGAACUCAUGCUUCCACUGAACUAGUUGGAACAUAUUUGGUCAUAGCUAGAAGUAUAUUAACACCUCAUUUAUAGAACAAAGAAUGAAAUCUCAAGGAGUAAAACAUCAACAGUGAAGCAUAGAUGUGUAGUACAAAAAUGUGGCCUAUAAUACUGUGCUAAACCUUGUUAAUAGACUUCAGCGAUGGUCUUAGAACAUUCCAGUCCAGUUUCUGCCACUUGGGAGAACUUUUUCCAUUGUUAUUAGAGGAUGAUUGUCCACCAUCAUCAACUGCAGUUUUCAGGAAUUUUUGUGGAGU